ACCCUAGUUGGUGGGACACCGUACUGACAAACAGAGGGCCCUUGGUUCAAUUCUCAGUG
rnacentral:tRNA from 1 species